GAGAUAUCAUUCCAUGGUCAUGCUCUUUGCCAUCAUCUAUACAUAAUAUGAAAUACCUCCAACUCUCAGGGACCAUGCAGGAAGACACGCUGGGGAAGAUGGACUUCAGAUGGUCAUAUGUCUCUUGCUAUAGACAGGGACCCUGUUCAGGACACCGCGUCACGUUUACUUGUGUUUCCUUGGGCUUCUCUUUGCUGUGACAGUUUCUCAGACCUUCCUUGUUUUUAAUAACCUUGACCACUUUGAGGAUUACCAAUAAGGCCAGGGCACUCCACCAAUCCCAAGAUGAACCAGCAUGCAGGAUACGUGCUUUCAAACCAAAGGAUUACGCUACCUUCAGUGCAUUCCACUGCCUCAUCUGUUCUUCCUUGUUCCAGAGAAAACAAAUGUGAAUACA